UUUAUGGAGAGUUUGAUCCUGGCUCAGGAUGAACGCUGGCGGCGUGCCUAAUACAUGCAAGUCGUGCGGUAACAGGCCCUUCGGGGUGCUGACGAGCGGCGGACGGGUGAGUAACGCGUAGGAAUGUACCCCAAAGUGAGGGAUAACUGCCCGAAAGGGUAGCUAAUACCGCAUAUGGUCUUCGGAUUAAAGCUAUUAGCGCUUUGGGAACAGCCUGCGUAAGAUUAGCUAGUUGGUGAGGUAAUGGCUCACCAAGGCGACGAUCUUUAGCUGGUCUGAGAGGAUGAUCAGCCACACUGGAACUGAGACACGGUCCAGACUCCUACGGGAGGCAGCAGUAAGGAAUCUUCCACAAUGGGCGAAAGCCUGAUGGAGCAACGCCGCGUGCAGGAUGAAGGCCUUCGGGUCGUAAACUGCUUUUCUAUGCGAAGAAUAUGACGGUAACAUAGGAAUAAGGAACGGCUAACUACGUGCCAGCAGCCGCGGUCAUACGUAGGUUCCAAGCGUUAUCCGGAGUGACUGGGCGUAAAGAGUUGCGUAGGCGGAAUGUUAAGCAGAUAGUGAAAUCGAGUGGCUCAACCAUCUUCGGCUAUUAUCUGAACUGGCAUUCUCGAGAGUAGUAGAGGUACCUGGAAUUCCCUGUGUAGCGGUGAAAUGCGUAGAUAUAGGGAGGAACACCAAUGGCGUAGGCAGGGUACUAGACUAUUUCUGACGCUGAGGCACGAAAGCGUGGGGAGCGAACCGGAUUAGAUACCCGGGUAGUCCACGCCGUAAACGAUGGGUGCUAGCUGUUGGAGGUAUCGACCCCUUCAGUAGCGAAGCUAACGCGUUAAGCACCCCGCCUGUGGAGUACGGUCGCAAGACUAAAACAUAAAGGAAUUGACGGGGACCCGCACAAGCGGUGGAUCAUGUUCUUUAAUUCGAUGGUAAGCGAAGAACCUUACCAGGGCUUGACAUCCUUGGAAUUUUGUCGAAAGACGAGAGUGCCCUUGGGAACCAAGUGACAGGUGAUGCAUGGCCGUCGUCAGCUCGUGUCGUGAGAUGUUUGGUUAAGUCCAUCAACGAGCGCAACCCUUAUGAAUAGUUGGAUUUUUCUAUUCAGACUGCCCCGGUAACGGGGAGGAAGGGGGGGAUGAUGUCAGGUCAGUAUUUCCCUUACGCCCUGGGCUAGAAACGUGAUACAAUGGCCGGUACAAUGAGCAGCCAAGCAGCAAUGCGGAGCAAAUCUCAUCAAAGCCGGUCUCAGUUCGGAUAACAGGCUGAAACUCGCCUGUUUGAAGCUGGAAUCGCUAGUAAUCGCAGGUCAGCACACUGCGGUGAAUACGUUCCCGGGUCUUGUACACACCGCCCGUCAAACCAUGAAAGUCACCAACACCCGAAGUCUGAACUUGAUUCGGCCUAAGGUGGGGGGGAUGAUUGGGGUUAAGUCGUAACAAGGUAUCCGUACCGGAAGGUGCGGAUGGAUUACCUCCUUUCUA
rnacentral:rRNA from 1 species